AUGGGGUCAUGGCUCAGCGGUAGAGUGCUUGCCUAACAUGUGUGAGGCCCUGGGUUCGAUCCUCAGCACCACAUA
rnacentral:tRNA from 1 species